CUAAGGCUCCAGAGGAAGCCACGGCUAACUCUGUGCCAGCAGCCGCGGUAAUACAGAGGCGGCAAGCGUUGUUCGGAAUUAUUGGGCGUAAAGAGCACGUAGGCGGCCUUGCAAGUCAGUUGUGAGAGCCUUCCGCUUAACGGAAGAAUGCCAGCUGAUACUACAGGGCUUGAGUACGGGAGGGGAGAGUGGAACUUCUGGUGGAGCGGUGAAAUGCGUAGAUAUCAGAAGGAACGCCGGCGGCGAAAGCGACUCUCUGGCCCGAAACUGACGCUGAGUGUGCGAAAGCUAGGGGAGCAAACGGGAUUAGAUACCCCGGUAGUCCUAGCCGUAAA
rnacentral:rRNA from 1 species